UACGUAGGGGGCUAGCGUUGUCCGGAAUCAUUGGGCGUAAAGCGCGCGUAGGCGGCCCGGUAAGUCCGCUGUAAAAGUCUAGGGCUCAACCCUGGAAAGCCGGUGGAUACUGUCGGGCUCGAGUCCGGAAGAGGCGAGUGGAAUUCCUGGUGUAGCGGUGGAAUGCGCAGAUAUCGGGAGGAACACCAAUGGCGAAGGCAGCUCGCUGGGACGUUACUGACGCUGAGACGCGAAAGCGUGGGGAGCAAACAGG
rnacentral:rRNA from 1 species